GCUACCUCUGCCUCAAUUUUAUCCCACAACUUAGACAUUCACAUUACUCACACCCUCAUUACACAUACUUAUAGGAUCUUGGGGAUGGGCAUGAUACACGGAGUCCAAGUUACCAUCAGGGUGUACACCUCACCCCUGGCAUCGUUGCCCACCUCUCAAUUUUAAAUACACGUAGACAUUGAGGGCUAGCAGGAGGGACUACGCGCUUACCUGCUGCUCUCUGGCAGGUAGCUCCAUGCCCUCCUGGGUUUUAAUUGCACCUUAGAACACACAUGCAUCAACACUACAAUGAGCGGGUGGAGGGAGGUUUGGAGUCUUCUCUCACCCCCAUUCUCUGCGGCCUGCUGGAGCGGGGGGGCUAGGAGGAGUUGGCCGUCCGGCUGCGGUCUGGGGUGUGGGGCCUCCCUGCUGCUGCGGAGUCGGGGUGGUCUGCCUCUCGCCAUCGCAGGGAAAAGGGUAAUACCACCUUGGUCAGGGUGCAGUUCCCCCCUCCAGGGGCAAGGGUACCUAGACCCAGUUUGUAGAGUACGCUUGGGGAGUGUGAUCGUGUAUACAGCGUCUCUUUAUGUCUGUCUCCACGUCGGUUGAGUGUGAAGUGCACAUGAGAGCAUGAGGGUGGGAAUGGAUGUUUGUGUCUGUGUGUGCCUGUAUGUCUGUGUCUAUAUGUCAGGUUGGGUAUCAGACGCCACCUCUCUGGGGACAUCUCGGGCCCUCCAAGGUUUGGAGGACUUUCUCCACCCACCACCACUUCCCCUGCCGGUGGCGGACUCCCUCAGGUGUCGGUGCGUUGGUGGUUCUUUGUAUCUGGGGGUGGGCGUCCGGGUACACACCGGCUCACUCCUUGGCGGCCGCUUAUUGGGGCUCGCUCGGGCCACUUCGGAGGUGGGGUGCCCCCGGCCUCUCGGCCUGGGGCUCGGUCACUCAGGCACAGCUGGCUGCCGGCGGAGCUCACACUGCAACUCCCCCUGGCUUCUGCUCCGCGGCUGCUGAAUGAGCCCUCAUCUGGGACUCUUAUUAGCUCUUACUGGGACAGUGGCGCGGGCUGCCCCUCUGUGGGUCUUCCUUGGUCUCUUGUGUUCUGGGGGCCUCUGGAUGUCUGGAGUUUUGAUCUCCUCCAUGCCUGCUUGAUGCCAUAAAGGACGGGGCUGUGGCUCCACGGGUGAAGUGUCUUGCCCAAGGACGCAACAACCAGUUAAGGCAACCUUCCGAUUACAAGACGAACUGCCAACUCUUGAGCCACGAUCGGUACCACACUCCCUAGCAGAUCAUUACAUGGAGAAACCUUUGGAAUACAAGCAUGCUGAUCCACACAGGUGACCCAGGAGUUUUGUUUUUUUGUUUGUUUGUUUUUUUCUCUCUUCCCCCCCUGCUCACCGUCUCUUCUCCCCUUUGGUUUUCUUUCUUUCUCUCCCUCUCUUUCUUUCGUUCUUUCCCCCUGUCCUAUCCCACAGUCAUGUCUGUCCCGUUUGUAGCAACUGAAAAUAAAAUAAAUUCAUAAUUAUAAUAAAGGUCAAUCAAAUGGACCAAUAUGGCAAGGCCAUGAUGAUCCACUUGGUAAAAUAAAUCCGCUUGGCAUCUUUCUUGGCCUCAAGACAACAAUUCUGAUGGCUAUAGAUCCAAACGGGACACAAAAACAAACAAACAAAAAAAAAACAGCAUGAUUUUUUUUUUUUGUUUUCCAUGUAAAAGCUAGCACUGAGCUUUAUAUCCAUAAUCACAUACUGUGUAUGCUACCAUUGUAUGAAGUUUAUUAACUUACUUAUCAAUCAAUCAAUUAAUCAAUCAAUCAAGGCUUUAUUCGCCACGUGCAGGUUGCCCUGCAGUGAAAUGGGACCCCCCCUUCGACC
ensembl:lncRNA